rnacentral:rRNA from 1 species
AGAGUUUGAUCAUGGCUCAGAUUGAACGCUGGCGGCAGGCCUAACACAUGCAAGUCGAGCGGAUGAGAAGAGCUUGCUCUUCGAUUCAGCGGCGGACGGGUGAGUAAUGCCUAGGAAUCUGCCUGGUAGUGGGGGACAACGUUUCGAAAGGAACGCUAAUACCGCAUACGUCCUACGGGAGAAAGCAGGGGACCUUCGGGCCUUGCGCUAUCAGAUGAGCCUAGGUCGGAUUAGCUAGUUGGUGAGGUAAUGGCUCACCAAGGCGACGAUCCGUAACUGGUCUGAGAGGAUGAUCAGUCACACUGGAACUGAGACACGGUCCAGACUCCUACGGGAGGCAGCAGUGGGGAAUAUUGGACAAUGGGCGAAAGCCUGAUCCAGCCAUGCCGCGUGUGUGAAGAAGGUCUUCGGAUUGUAAAGCACUUUAAGUUGGGAGGAAGGGCAUUAACCUAAUACGUUAGUGUUUUGACGUUACCGACAGAAUAAGCACCGGCUAACUCUGUGCCAGCAGCCGCGGUAAUACAGAGGGUGCAAGCGUUAAUCGGAAUUACUGGGCGUAAAGCGCGCGUAGGUGGUUUGUUAAGUUGGAUGUGAAAGCCCCGGGCUCAACCUGGGAACUGCAUCCAAAACUGGCAAGCUAGAGUACGGUAGAGGGUGGUGGAAUUUCCUGUGUAGCGGUGAAAUGCGUAGAUAUAGGAAGGAACACCAGUGGCG